rnacentral:rRNA from 1 species
GAAUGCUGACAUAAGUAACGAUAAAGCGGGUGAAAAGCCCGCUCGCCGGAAGACCAAGGGUUCCUGUCCAACGUUAAUCGGGGCAGGGUGAGUCGACCCCUAAGGCGAGGCCGAAAGGCGUAGUCGAUGGGAAACAGGUUAAUAUUCCUGUACUUGGUGUUACUGCGAAGGGGGGACGGAGAAGGCUAUGUUGGCCGGGCGACGGUUGUCCCGGUUUAAGCGUGUAGGCUGGUUUUCCAGGCAAAUCCGGAAAAUCAAGGCUGAGGCGUGAUGACGAGGCACUACGGUGCUGAAGCAACAAAUGCCCUGCUUCCAGGAAAAGCCUCUAAGCAUCAGGUAACAUCAAAUCGUACCCCAAACCGACACAGGUGGUCAGGUAGAGAAUACCAAGGCGCUUGAGAGAACUCGGGUGAAGGAACUAGGCAAAAUGGUGCCGUAACUUCGGGAGAAGGCACGCUGAUAUGUAGGUGAAGCGACUUGCUCGUGGAGCUGAAAUCAGUCGAAGAUACCAGCUGGCUGCAACUGUUUAUUAAAAACACAGCACUGUGCAAACACGAAAGUGGACGUAUACGGUGUGACGCCUGCCCGGUGCCGGAAGGUUAAUUGAUGGGGUUAGCGCAAGCGAAGCUCUUGAUCGAAGCCCCGGUAAACGGCGGCCGUAACUAUAACGGUCCUAAGGUAGCGAAAUUCCUUGUCGGGUAAGUUCCGACCUGCACGAAUGGCGUAAUGAUGGCCAGGCUGUCUCCACCCGAGACUCAGUGAAAUUGAACUCGCUGUGAAGAUGCAGUGUACCCGCGGCAAGACGGAAAGACCCCGUGAACCUUUACUAUAGCUUGACACUGAACAUUGAGCCUUGAUGUGUAGGAUAGGUGGGAGGCUUUGAAGUGUGGACGCCAGUCUGCAUGGAGCCGACCUUGAAAUACCACCCUUUAAUGUUUGAUGUUCUAACGUUGGCCCCUGAUCGGGGUUGCGGACAGUGUCUGGUGGGUAGUUUGACUGGGGCGGUCUCCUCCUAAAGAGUAACGGAGGAGCACGAAGGUUGGCUAAUCCUGGUCGGACAUCAGGAGGUUAGUGCAAUGGCAUAAGCCAGCUUGACUGCGAGCGUGACGGCGCGAGCAGGUGCGAAAGCAGGUCAUAGUGAUCCGGUGGUUCUGAAUGGAAGGGCCAUCGCUCAACGGAUAAAAGGUACUCCGGGGAUAACAGGCUGAUACCGCCCAAGAGUUCAUAUCGACGGCGGUGUUUGGCACCUCGAUGUCGGCUCAUCACAUCCUGGGGCUGAAGUAGGUCCCAAGGGUAUGGCUGUUCGCCAUUUAAAGUGGUACGCGAGCUGGGUUUAGAACGUCGUGAGACAGUUCGGUCCCUAUCUGCCGUGGGCGCUGGAGAACUGAGGGGGGCUGCUCCUAGUACGAGAGGACCGGAGUGGACGCAUCACUGGUGUUCGGGUUGUCAUGCCAAUGGCACUGCCCGGUAGCUAAAUGCGGAAGAGAUAAGUGCUGAAAGCAUCUAAGCACGAAACUUGCCCCG